GCUUAGUUAGUUGAGCGUCUGACUCUUGAUUUUGGCUCAGGUCAUGGUUUCAUGGUUCGUGGGUUCAAGCCCCACAUCAGGCU
rnacentral:tRNA from 1 species